rnacentral:lncRNA from 1 species
CUGAAGAGAAAGUUGCAGUUUUUGGACAUCCCCAGUGGCCAUCUCUGGCUCUGUGGACAAAAGUACAGGAAUUGCUGGAGGCAUAAAGAACUUACAGGCUUGGUAGUUGGCAUCUCCUGGAGAAUUGAUGAGGUACUGAAAAACAGGAAGAGGAGAAGCGUAACAGCUGAUGGACAGCUUUCUUACUCAAACUGCAAGAGGGAAGUACAUGCGGAAGCACAGGGUUUGUUUGCACAGAAUGGAUAUUCCAGUCCUCCUGCACACACUGCUCUGUACUAUGCUGCAAUGAAGACCGG